CGUGUUUCAAACAGAGUUUCUACGUUUGCCGGUCGUUAUGCGUUGGUUCGUGUUUGAUAACAGCUGCAAGGGACAGUUAUCAAGAAGAGAGCACUAUGCUUAGUGCAUGAAGCACACUGGGCUUGUGAACACCAUUCUGUACAUCUGUAGACGCUGGAGCUGCAUUAAAGAAGGUUGCCCUAUUCCA